rnacentral:rRNA from 1 species
GACGAACGCUGGCGGCGUGCUUAACACAUGCAAGUCGAACGGAAAGGCCCUGCUUUUGUGGGGUGCUCGAGUGGCGAACGGGUGAGUAACACGUGAGUAACCUGCCCUUGACUUUGGGAUAACUUCAGGAAACUGGGGCUAAUACCGGAUAGGAGCUCCUGCUGCAUGGUGGGGGUUGGAAAGUUUCGGCGGUUGGGGAUGGACUCGCGGGUUAUCAGCUUGUUGGUGGGGUAGUGGCUUACCAAGGCUUUGACGGGUAGCCGGCCUGAGAGGGUGACCGGCAACAUUGGGACUGAGAUACGGCCCAGACUACUACGGGAGGCAGCAGUGGGGAAUAUUGCAAAAUGGGCGGAAGCCUGAUGCAGCAACGCCGCGUGCGGGAUGACGGCCUUCGGGUUGUAAACCGCUUUCGCCUGAGACGAAGCGUGAGUGACGGUAAUGGGUAAAGAAGCACCGGCUAACUACGUG